rnacentral:rRNA from 1 species
GACGAACGCUGGCGGCGUGCUUAACACAUGCAAGUCGAACGGAAAGGCCCUGCUUUUGUGGGGUGCUCGAGUGGCGAACGGGUGAGUAACACGUGAGUAUCCUGCCCUUGACUUUGGGAUAACUUCAGGAAACUGGGGCUAAUACCGGAUAGGAGCUCCUGCUGCAUGGUGGGGGUUGGAAAGUUUCGGCGGUUGGGGAUGGACUCGCGGCUUAUCAGCGUGUUGGUGGGGUAGUGGCUUACCAAGGCUUUGACGGGUAGCCGGCCUGAGAGGGUGACCGGCCACAUUGGGACUGAGAUACGGCCCAGACUCCUACGGGAGGCAGCAGUGGGGAAUAUUGCACAAUGGGCGGAAGCCUGAUGCAGCAACGCCGCGUGCGGGAUGACGGCCUUCGGGUUGUAAACCGCUUUCGCCUGUGACGAAGCGUGAGUGACGGUAAUGGGUAAAGAAGCACCGGCUAACUACGUG